UGUAGACACAUAUUGAUAUGCCUCUACCAUUCAGCAGUCAAAAUGAACUUCUGGAGAUAUUCAUCAGUUCUACCUGCCCUUGAGGAAGGCUGAAAAGAUCUUUUAGGUUCUCCUCAGGCUUCAAGAAGGUGAAAUUCCUGCGUGAAAGCCACUCUCCCUAUACAAGAAAGAAGGCAACAUCCUUAUCUUCAAGGACAAGAAGUCAAGGCUCAGGGCUGAGACAACACUGCACAGACCUUGUUGGAAUAACUCAUCUUUUCAGUCUCUCACAUAAUUUAGUUGCCUCUUCACAGCAUACUACUCUGUGUCCAAUUCAGUAAACAGUACCCUUAACUUCUUCUUUGGUCUUCACUUCUUUAUGAAGGCUUCUAUGCCACAUAAAAUUUGCAUUACAUAAGUGUGUAUGCAUUUCUCCUGUUGGUCUGUCUUAUGUCAAUUUAAUUCUCAAGCCCAGCCAAAAGAAACCCUAAAGGGGAAGCUCGCCUACAAUAGCCUUUCCUUCUGAGCUCAUUUGGCAGCAGCUAAUUAGGAUAUUGCCUUAUUUGUUCUCUAUCUGCCCCCAGCGGCAACAGGCUGAGAAAGUGAAACUCUUACUCCUGGUUACUGCAGAAAGGGGAAAUAGAGGAUGAACUGGGAAUGGUGCAAUUCAUAGAGAAAUUCAACUUAAUAAAGGGCUAAACAGUCACGUGUACACAAGAAGCAAACAGUUACUAUGAAUUAAUUGAUUCAAGCAUAAGACAAGAGGGAGUCACAGAAACUGCAAAUUAGAAAAGAAUACAGUUGGUCACUGAAGGCAUUUAAAUUUAAAGGAAAAUAAUUACGAGGUUCAAAACAGACAAACAAAUGAAAAACAACAAUAACAAAAUGUGUAUCUGUGGCCAGAUAAAUUCCAUGGGCCCCCAAUUAGUUUCUUCUUUAUUAAAAAGACAGAAUAAGUCAUAGACAAGAUGAGCACCUGGCUUUAUAAAUGAAUUAAUGUAGUAAAUAUACUGAAGGAAAGCAUAUGCCAGUAAUAGAAAGAAUAAAAAUCAAACAAAAAUUUAAGUCAGAGAGGCAAGUAUUUGUAAGGGCUAGCCAAUUUCCUAACUCUAUGGGAGAGGUAACUACAAAAAUUAUUCCUAAAACCUGAUUUUUCUCAGGCCUUGAAAAUUUGCAGGCUCCUAAAGUUUAAAGCACAUUUUAGGAAACGCUGUGUAACAC
rnacentral:lncRNA from 1 species